rfam:Gossypium hirsutum cultivar TM-1 chromosome 5, whole genome shotgun sequence
UGUUAAAUAUUUAAUCCAUUUGUACUAUUAAAAAUUAGCGUGAUUGACAAAAUAAUUAGAUAGUAACACGUGGCAUUCUAUGUAUACCUCAUGCUGACGUACAAAAAAUCAAAUUUUGAGAGUAAAAAUGGAUUAAAUUUUUAACA